rnacentral:tRNA from 1 species
CUCCAGGCCCGUUCCGUUCCCGUUCGCCUUCGCACCUGUCACAGCUUCUCAACUGGCAGGAGAUACCGCAUGUU